AAAUUUAUGAAUAUUUCCCCUAGAAAUUUGCAGGUAUUCUCGCUCAAUAUUACGAUUAGAAUUAUUUGAAAAGUUAUUGGGGGAAAAUACACAAUCAAUCGCAAGAAAAUUCUGUUUUAUUGGAGGUGAUUUGGUUAUUUCAGAGUAUUUAUGCGGCAUUUUUUCCUCAACUCGGCAGCAUUGGAUGGAAAGUAAAAGUGGAACAACGCGAUGCCGCUCUUGACUUGGUCGUUCGAGGCGCGGUCGAGUCUUGGCGUUGUGAGGCGUCUUUGACCAGGAUGCAUCGGAAACCCGAUAUUAAUGAAAAUGAACGAAUCGGAAUGCCACUAUUUCCGUGCACCAAAGAACGGAGGAUUUAUUCACGAUCCGGUCGGGGGCUCGAUGGAAAUCAUGGGACGACUCAUUUCCGAGAAGAAAUGUCUGAUGCCGAUUCGCAUUGCGCAAGUCUUUUAUUUUGACCACCAGGAUGACGCAAGGAUCGAUGGCGCACUGUGACUUUGCACCUCACCACACUCGCAGAUUAUGAAGAAACGAUUCAAUUCUCGAAAAAUCCUUAAUUUAACUCCGGUUUUUGUGUGGUCGCUAAGCCAGGGGCCAUUUUUACUCGGCAGAAUUGAUAAGCCCUGGUUGAAGGCAGGUGAGGCGUGAGAAGAAAUCGUGUCCGCGGCUGAUAUCUCGCGUGCGGCGCGGCGUGGAAGUGUCGGAGUGACCGAAAGACUCUGGCAGUUGAAAUCGGUAUAAACAACAAGCGAGGCCCCAUUGUUGCACUGUAGGUCAGUAUACCAAACCUUGGCCGAAUCAACUAACAAGAUGCUCUUUGCGUUCGCUGCGAUCCGAGCACGUCGAGAGAAAGGCUUUCACUUUAGAUUCAGGCCUCUAGAUUUAAGUUGGAGGCGUGUAUUUUACCACCAAGUUGUGCCAGUAUAGGGUU
rnacentral:lncRNA from 1 species